AAAGAAAAAGAAAGGAGAGAAGGUUGGCAUUCCCCUUGACAAGGAUGGAAGAGGCUCUUGGGCCUGACAACAAGCAUUUAGUUAAGGCAUUGCCACCUACUUCGUGGCAUCUAACCAUUACUAAAU
ensembl:snRNA